AUUGAACGCUGGCGGCAGGCCUAACACAUGCAAGUCGAACGAGUGGCGGACGGGUGAGUAAUGUCUGGGAAACUGCCCGAUGGAGGGGGAUAACUACUGGAAACGGUAGCUAAUACCGCAUACCAUCGGAUGUGCCCAGAUGGGAUUUGCUUGGUGGUGGGGUAAUGGCUCACCUAGGCGACGAUCCCUAGCUGGGCUGAGAGGAUGACCAGCCACACUGGAACUGAGACACGGUCCAGACGCCUACGGGAGGCAGCAGUGGGGAAUAUGGCACAAUGUGCGCAAGCCUGAUGCAGCCAUGCCGCGUGUAUGAAGAAGGCCUUCGGGUUGUAAAGUACUUUCAGCGAGGAGGCGUUACUCGCAGAAGAAGCACCGGCUAACUCCGUGCCAGCAGCCGCGGUAAUUC
rnacentral:rRNA from 1 species